GGGUAUAUAGCUCAGUGGUAGAAUGAGUGCUUAGCAUACAUGAUAUCCUGGGUUCAAUCCCCAGUACCUCCA
rnacentral:tRNA from 1 species